UUGGUGCCUUCGGGAACUCUGAGACAGGUGCUGCAUGGCUGUCGUCAGCUCGUGUUGUGAAAUGUUGGGUUAAGUCCCGCAACGAGCGCAACCCUUAUCCUUUGUUGCCAGCGGUUAGGCCGGGAACUCAAAGGAGACUGCCAGUGAUAAACUGGAGGAAGGUGGGGAUGACGUCAAGUCAUCAUGGCCCUUACGAGUAGGGCUACACACGUGCUACAAUGGCGCAUACAAAGAGAAGCGACCU
rnacentral:rRNA from 2 species